CGCGGGAUGGAGCAGUCUGGUAGCUCGUCGGGCCCAUAACCCGAAGGUCGUAGGUUCAAAUCCUGCUCCCGCAA
rfam:Weissella kandleri strain DSM 20593 Scaffold2, whole genome shotgun sequence.